rnacentral:rRNA from 1 species
UACGUAGGUGGCAAGCGUUGUCCGGAAUUACUGGGUGUAAAGCGCGUGUAGGCGGCAGACCAAGUCGGCGGUGAAAGCGCCCGGCUCAACUGGGCGAGGUCCGUGGAAACUGGUCAGCUGGAGGACGGUAGAGGCGAGUGGAAUUCCCGGUGUAGUGGUGAAAUGCGUAGAGAUCGGGAGGAACACCUGUGGCGAAGGCGGCCUGCUGGGCUGUUGCUGACGCUGAGGCGCGACAGCGUGGGGAGCAAACAGG